rnacentral:rRNA from 1 species
GCUUAACACAUGCAAGUCGAGGGGCACCAUGGUCUUGACUUGCUAAGGCCGAUGGCGACCGGCGCACGGGGGAGUAACACGUAUCCCACCUGCCGCCUACUCUUGGACAGCCUUCUGAAAGGAAAAUUAAUACAAGAUGGCAUCACGAGUCCACAUGUUCACAUGAUUAAAGGUGUUCCGGCAGACGAGGGGGAUGCGUUCCAUAUAUGAUAGGCGGGGGAACGGCCCACCUACUCUUCAAUGGAUAAGGGUUCUGAGAGGAAAGUCCCCCACAUUGGAACUGAGACACGGACCAAACUCCUACGGCAGGCAGCAAUGGGGAAUAUUGGUCAAUGGGCAAGAGCCUGAACCCUCCAAGUAGCGUGAAGGAUGACUGCCCUAUGGGUUGUAAACUUCUUUUAUAAAGGAAUAAAGUCAGAUAUGGAUACCCGGUUGCAUGUACUUUAUGAAAAAAGAUCGGCUAACUCCGGGCCAGCCGCCGCGGGAAUACGGAGGAUCCAAUCGUUAUCCGGAUUUAUUGGGUUUAAAGGGAGCGUAGAUGGAUGUUUAAGUCAGGUGUGAAAGUUUGCGACUCCACCGGAAAAUUGCAGCUGAUACUGGAUAUCUUGAGUGCAAAUGACCGAGGCGGAAUUCAUGGUGUAUCAGAGAAAUAAUUACAUAUCACGAAUAACUCCGAUUGCGAAGACAGCCUGCUAAUCUGCAACGGACAUUGAGGGUGGAAAGUGUGGGUAUCAAACAGGUUUUGCUACCCUGGUAGUCCACACGGUAGGCGAUGAAUACUCGCGGUCUUCGAUAUACAGCAAGCGGCCAAGCGUAAUCCUUAAGUAUUGCACGUGGGGAAUACGCCGGCACCGGUGAAACUCAAAGGAAUUGCCGGGGGGCCGCACAAGCGGAGGAACAUGUGGUCUAAUUGGAUGAUACGCGAGGAUCCUUACCCGGGGUUGAAUGGCAGAUGAAUUAUGGUGAAAUCCGUAAGAUGCAAGGCAUCUGUGAAGGUGUUGCAUGGUUGUCGUCAGCUCGGACCGUGAGGUGUCGGCUUAAGUGACAUAACGAGUGCUACCCUUGUUGUCAGUUUUAGACAGGUUUUGUUGAGGACUCUGACAAGAUUGCCAUGGUAAGAUGGGAGGAAGGUGGGGAUGACGUCAAAUCAGCACGGCCCUUACGUCCGGGGCUACACACGUGUUACAAUGGGGGGUACAGAGGGCCGCUACCACGCGAGUGGAUGCCAAUCCCCAAACCCUUUGUCAGUUCGGACUGGAGUCUGCAACCCGACUCCAAGAAGCUGGAUUCGCUAGUAAUCGAGCAUCAGCCACGGCGCGGUGAAUACUUUCCCAGGGCCUUGUACACCCCGCCCGUCAAGCCAUGGGAGCCGGGGGUACGUGAAGUGCGUAAACGGGAGGAGCGCCCUAGGGUAAAACUGGUGACUG